rnacentral:lncRNA from 1 species
UCUUCACAAAAAGAAAAAACUUGCUUAGACGAAAAUCAAACUGUGGAAACUGAUAGUAUCCUCGAUUAAGAUGAUAGAGUGGGAAGCAUUUUCAUGCCCAGGUAAUAGAAUAAAUUGAAAGAAUCCACAGAAUUGAUCAUGUUAAGCCCGUUUUAAACAUGGAUUGAAAUUCUCAGCAGCUGUUCUAUGAAACAACAGCUCAAAUUUAAAAUGCUACCCAAAUGAUGAUUUUAUCUGCAAUAUGUAGUUUACGCGGAGAAAAAAUCGAACAUAAUCUUGGAAAGACACAUCUAAAUCCUAAUAAAAGAGAAUUCAAUCGCUUCAAUCAUCAAGAGUAGAGAUGCCCAGAAGAAAACAAACCAUCUUUUUGAACUCGCAGGAUGACAGCUACUCAAAUUAAUCACUUCAAUCAUUAAAAGUAGAGUUGCUUAGAAGACAAAAGGUGAUCGUUUUGAAUUCACGGGAAACAAACACAUAAUUUCCUAAUCAAUCACACGCUCUGAUACGAUAAGAUACAACACCAAAGAUCUCAAGAACUACAGAAUGGAAAAUGUCCACGACCAGAUAUUUUUAGAACUAGAAAUUAUCGAGAAAGUGAUAGUUGCAAAAACCAUAGCCCUGCCUCCUAAUCCAUAGCCCCUACCAUGUGAAUGCAUGUGUUCCAUCAAUUCCACAAAGACUCCAUCAAUUACAGGAUGAAUAUAUAUAUAUGUUGUCCUAAACUGCACGUAAUAGAGUAUACUAUAAGCAAGGAAUUUUCCAACGAAAAAAUUACCUUCCUUCAAGAAGAGCAUUUUUAAGCCAAGUAUC